CUCUCCCUUCUCAUGCCGGGAACUGAACCCAGGACCUGUGCUGUAUGACUGACCCAUACCCCUAGCUGUCCUCUUUGACGGUGGGUAUGACGGAGUAGGCUUCUUCUGGAAGAUCUGGGUGAACGCAGGAUACUGUUUUCCAGCGGUCUUCUUAAAGCACUUUCAUUUCUUCAGAGCCGGUAACCUGUCCACUGCCUCUGGCCCCAGUUCCAAGUUAUUUCUCCUCACUGUCGAGUACCUGGAACCCUCGCAUAGCUCCACGUGGCGCAGCCUCCACCUGCUUCGCAGUGUCCGCCCUCUGACCCCGUGCUCAUCACGCGUGUGCCUCAGAUCUCAGGCCACCAGCACCAGACUAAUUCCUCCUUUCCCACUUAGGGAAGAAUUUCUCCUUUGUCACACAUGGCCGCAACUACGGGGCCCAACCUCAUCAACCCCGAGCAAGAAUAAGAGACAGAACAUGAAAAAGUUGUCAUCCUGGUGCUGCAGGAACGCACAGUCAGGUGAGGCCAGUGUGUCUGGGAUAUAACAACCACAGGGAA
ensembl:lincRNA